rnacentral:rRNA from 1 species
UUUGGACGGAGAGUUCGAUCCUGGCUCAGGAUGAACGCUGGCGGCGCGCCUAACACAUGCAAGUCGAACGGCACCCCUCUCCGGAGGGAAGCGAGU